GAUGAACGCUAGCUACAGGCUUAACACAUGCAAGUCGAGGGACCGGCGCACGGGUGAGUAACACGUAUCAAACCUGGCCUUUACUCGGGGAUAGCCUUUCGAAAGAAAGAUUAAUAACCGAUAGAAGGGAUGGGGAUGCGUUCCAUUAGGUUGUUGGUGAGGUAACGGCUUACCAAGCGUUCGAUGGAUAGGGGUUCUGAGAGGAAGGUCCCCCACAUUUGAACUGAGACCCGGUCCAAACUCCUACGGGAGGCAGCAGUGAGGUAUAUUGGUCAAUGGGCGCUAGCCUUACCCAGCCAAGUAGCGUGAAGGAUGAAUGCUUAUGGGUCGUAAACUUCUUUUAUAUAAGAAUAUGUAUUAUAUGAAUAAGGAUCGGCUAACUCCGUGCCAGCAGCCGCGGUAAUAC
rnacentral:rRNA from 1 species